UCCUCAGCGACGGACCGGG
rnacentral:snRNA from 1 species